rnacentral:rRNA from 1 species
AAUGUGACCAUACCAAACUGUUGCCUCGGCGGGGUCACGCCCCGGGUGCGUCGCAGCCCCGGAACCAGGCGCCCGCCGGAGGGACCAACCAAACUCUUUCUGUAGUCCCCUCGCGGACGUUAUUUCUUACAGCUCUGAGCAAAAAUUCAAAAUGAAUCAAAACUUUCAACAACGGAUCUCUUGGUUCUGGCAUCGAUGAAGAACGCAGCGAAAUGCGAUAAGUAAUGUGAAUUGCAGAAUUCAGUGAAUCAUCGAAUCUUUGAACGCACAUUGCGCCCGCCAGUAUUCUGGCGGGCAUGCCUGUCCGAGCGUCAUUUCAACCCUCGAACCCCUCCGGGGGGUCGGCGUUGGGGAUCGGGAACCCCUAAGACGGGAUCCCGGCCCCGAAAUACAGUGGCGGUCUCGCCGCAGCCUCUCCUGCGCAGUAGUUUGCACAACUCGCACCGGGAGCGCGGCGCGUCCACGUCCGUAAAACACCCAACUUCUGAAAUGUUGACCUCGGAUCAGGUAGGAAUACCCGCUGAACUUAAGCAUAUCAAUAAGCGGAGGA